UACGUAGGGCGCAAGCGUUGUCCGGAAUUAUUGGGCGUAAAGAGCUCGUAGGCGGCUUGUCGCGUCGACUGUGAAAACCCGCGGCUCAACUGCGGGCUUGCAGUCGAUACGGGCAGGCUAGAGUUCGGUAGGGGAGACUGGAAUUCCUGGUGUAGCGGUGGAAUGCGCAGAUAUCAGGAGGAACACCGAUGGCGAAGGCAGGUCUCUGGGCCACUACUGACGCUGAGGCACGAAAGCGUGGGGAGCGAACAGG
rnacentral:rRNA from 1 species